CUAUGAGCCAGUAUGAUCCGACCAGACCUUACAUCAGCAUUGAGGAGUUCAGGAGAAGAAAGAGGCUGAUUGAAGCGGGACAGAUGACAUGGAUCCAUCCUUCCACAGCCAGGAGUGCACCGACCUGUGUCCCACACUUCAUAUAAGACUGGAAGCUACACUGAUCUCACAGCUACACACCACAGACGUCUACACACUGGAGAAGAUUCAGACAGAGUCCCACAAAGAAGUCAUGACACAGAGGCUGCAGAGAAACAUUUCAAGCCUCAUCUGAGUUUUUGUACAAUAUUUUUGCUGUAUGUAAAUAAAGCUUUGACUCCACA